rnacentral:rRNA from 1 species
UUGAAGCCCGAGUAAACGGCGGCCGUAACUAUAACGGUCCUAAGGUAGCGAAAUUCCUUGUCGGUUAAAUACCGACCUGCAUGAAUGGCGUAACGAGAUGGGAGCUGUCUCAACCAGAGAUUCAGUGAAAUUGUAGUGGAGGUGAAAAUUCCUCCUACCCGCGGCAAGACGGAAAGACCCCG